rnacentral:rRNA from 1 species
UACAGAGGGCGCGAGCGUUGUCCGGAAUCACUGGGCGUAAAGGGCGCGUAGGUGGCGGCAUAAGGCUGUGGUGAAAGUCCGGGGCUCAACCCCGGAUCGGCCGCGGCGACUGUGUUGCUUGGGUACCGUAGAGGCAGAUGGAAUUCCGGGUGUAGCGGUGAAAUGCGCAGAUAUCAGGAGGAACACCAAUGGCGAAGGCAGCUCGCUGGAACGGUACUGACGCUGAGGCGCGAAAGCGUGGGGAGCGAACAGG